rfam:Thiotrichales bacterium SG8_50 WOR_8-12_2125, whole genome shotgun sequence.
GCGCCCGUAGCUCAGCUGGAUAGAGUACUGCCCUCCGAAGGCAGGGGUCACAGGUUCGAAUCCUGUCGGGCGCG